CGCGCACACACUCGGGCCCCCCGCGGCCGGACCCACGGGGGCGGUGCGCGAACCCCGCGGCCGGAGGGGGCCCCGCCUCUAGGCGGGCCAGGCGCCGUUAGAGGGGGAGCGCACCCCGACUUCCCUGGAUCACAUGGGCUGCGGGGGGCGGGUGGAUCGGAGGAGGGGGAGGCGCGGGGAGCUCGCCGCCGCUCCUCGCUCGGGCAGGGGAGAAGACGCCCCCCACCCCCUCUAGUUCGGCCUCUCCAUUCAAGUUCGCCAGCCCUGGCCUCCGGGAUCCGGGGAUGGCACUAGCCGCCUGCCCAGCUCUGCGCCCUUUUUUUCCAGCCGCCGCGCAGAAAUUUAGGUCAAGGACGUCGGGAUCAAACCCAAACCCUGGCGCUCCUCGGCGGACCCCGAGACCCCCCAGGAUCGGGGAGCUUCAGGAUUGCGGAGACCCUCCCGCACAAACAGCAGCCACAAGUUUUAUUUUCCUUUGGCGCUGGAAGUUCUCUCUGGCUCUCGCUCCACACCGGCACGUCUUGCGCCGCUCCCCGCCCUUCCCCGGCAGAGGAUUAGGACACAAGGGAAUACACUCAACACCAAAACUAUACCAAAUCCACUGUGGGUCGUGGCAAAGUGGAAUAUUUGGAAAAUCCCAACACUAGCCAAAGCCUUGAAUGACCAGAUUCUUAAUCUCCCUGCCUCCUAAAUUUGGGAUAAUUCCUCACUGACAGGAUUGAUGGAGUGAAAGGAGAGAUUGAAAUCACUUGUUCUGGGGGAAGCAGAUGCCAUAUCAUGAAGAUGAUCAAGUAGCCCAGUGGAGAGGCCCACGUGGAGAUGAACUGAGGUUUGCUACCAGCAACACAAUCUUGCCAGGACUGUGAGCUAGACACAUUAAAGGCAGAUCUGCCAGCCCCGGUCAGAUCUUCAGAUGACUGCUACCUUGGCCUAUGCCUUGACUGCAACUUCGCGAGAAACCUUAAGCCAGAACCUCCCAACUACGCCAUUCCCAAUUCCUGACCCUCAGAUACUGUCUGAGAUAGUCAAGACUUGUUGUCUGAAGCUACUAAAUUGGGAUAAUUUGUUGUCCAGAAUAGAUAACGAAUACAAAGAUACUUCACAACGCACUAAAAUAGAGCUGCUCACUUCAUAGGCUUGCGCCAGGAUUCAUAUGCUAACAUUUUUAGAGCGUUUUAGUUAGACUCAGGCCAAA